UGAGAUAGAAAAAUACCUAUAUAUGAUAUAUAUAUAUAUACAUACACAACACAUACAUACAAUCCUCUUUUGGAAGUUUUUUCCAUGCUGUAAAAGAAUAUUACAAAUAUGGGAAUAAGGUUUCUUGUUUUCAGAACAUAUAUCUGUAUGGUUUUCUUAUUUGAAACUUUUUAUAUGAUGUAGUGAAUGUAUAUUGGGUUUUUUAAAAAGUUUUUUUAUUUCUAGAAUUUGUAAAAUGUUAGUCAUGUUUUAAGUGAUUAAUUCAUGUUACUUUCCAUUGUUAUUUUGUGAAAAGAACCAAUAUAUAUUCAAAGAUCAAGUAAGUCAUCUCAUUUUUGAUGACUAUGUAUAGAAAAGGGUCUUCCUGGCAGCUGCAGUCAAAUUAUAUCUGGAAAUGUAUGAUUAGAGAAAUGUGACAAGUGAAAUGUUCAACUUUUGCAUCAUAUCAAGGAUUCCUAUAAAAUAAAAAUUUUUUGUUGAGCACAAGAUAGUAAUUUUGUUUGGUAUGAAAAAUAAUUCUAUUAAUUUGUUACUAGUGGGUACAAAACAUGGCACUCUGCGGGAUUUUGUAUUCCAACAAAAAAUGAAGUAUUACAGUUUAAAAAUAACAUUAUUUCAUUUAUUAAAAUUUUUAAUUAUAGAAUUUCAUGAGAAAAUUUACCUUUUAAAACUUUUUAAAAUGUAAUUAAUUAGAUACUAUAUUUCUAGCCUAUCCUUUAUAGGCAUAUAUAUUGGUUCUUAUAAGAGAUUUUUAUAAAUUUAUGCUUCCUAUUUUGUUAAUACUAUUUAGUAUAUGAUAGUAUAACAAUUUCUAUUUGGGAUUCUUAUUAAUAGUAUAAUUUUUCCAUAAACUCUAUAUCUUUUUAACAUUUAUACUUCAUAAGUAGCAAAACAGGUAAUCUUUCACUUCCUUAAGAUUUCUUAAAUGAAAUCUUUUCCUCUUUAUCAGGUGCAAAAUAUUAUUGUAUUUAGGUUAUUAAAAAUCUAUUAAUAUUGUAAAAUAAAGUUAUCAGAAUAAAAUUCUCUACAUAUUGUACAGUGUUAUAACUUUACUGUAAACAAGUAAUCUUGUAAAUGUACAUGUGAUUAUUUGUAUUUUCAUUAUUUUGUUUUAAUUGGAAAAAUUGGAAGUUUUAUCUAUUUCCUGUAGAGUCCCAUGUGUUAAUACCUUGUGUGUACAUGGCAUAUUGCAUAUUGUGUAUGUUUUCAAAAAAUAAGAAUAAGAAAAAUUACAACAAAUAUAUAUAUAUAUACACAGAUAAUUUAAAAUCAGUAAAGCUUGAUGCAGGCUGCAAUUUCCUCCUCAUAACUUGUUUGGGCCAUUUCAGUGCAAAUGUUUGUCUGCAGCCAAAUGUUAUUAAAGGAAAAAAUUUAUAUGAAAGUUACUUAGUAAUGUGUUCCAUGGUUUUUUUAAUUGCAUGAUUUUGACAAUACUAUGUGAAUAAAAGAUCCGGAGUACUGUUAUAUGUAUGUGAAUAUUAAAUACACACAAAUUUAUAAUUAUAAAUUGUUAUUUAUUUUUGAUGAUAAUGACCUAGCAUUAUUUUUACAAAUAUAAACAAUUAAAAAUAUUGGUUCCACUUUUAGGUGUAUUCACAAUAUACGUGAAU
rnacentral:lncRNA from 1 species